GGGUGCUUAGCUCAGUUGGUAGAGCAGCGCCCUUACAAGGCGCGGGUCGGGAGUUCGAGCCUCUCAGCACCCACCA
rnacentral:tRNA from 55 species